GACGAACGCUGGCGGCGUGCUUAACACAUGCAAGUCGAACGGAAAGGCCCUGCUUUUGUGGGGUGCUCGAGUGGCGAACGGGUGAGUAACACGUGAGUAACCUGCCCUUCACUUUGGGAUAACUUUGGGAAACUGGGGCUAAUACCGGAUAGGACCUCCUGCUGCAUGGUGUUGUUUGGAGAGUUUCGGCGGGUGAGGAUGUGCUCGCGUCUUAUCAGGUUGUUGGUGUGGUAGUUGCUUACCAAGGCGUCGGCGGGUCGCCGGCCUGGGAGGGUGGACGGCCACAGUGGGACUGAGAUACGGCCCAGACUCCGACGGGAGGCAGCAGUGGGGAAUAUUGCGCAAUGGGCGCAAGCCUGAGGCAGCGGCGCCGCGUGGGGGAUGACGGCCUUCGGGUUGUAAACACCUUUCGCUAGAGACGAAGCGCAAGUGACGGUACCUAGAGAAGAAGCACCGGCUAACUACGUG
rnacentral:rRNA from 1 species